GACGAACCGUACGAACGUUAUUCGGAAUCACUGGGCUUAAAGGGUGCGUAGGCUGCGCAGCAAGUUGGGUGUGAAAUCCCUCGGCUUAACCGAGGAACUGCGCCCAAAACUGCUGUGCUCGAGGGAGACAGAGGUGAGCGGAGCUUAGGGUGGAGCGGUGAAAUGCGUUGAUAUCCUAAGGAACACCGGUGGCGAAAGCGGCUCACUGGGUCUCUUCUGACGCUGAGGCACGAAAGCUAGGGUAGCGAACGGG
rnacentral:rRNA from 1 species